UACGUAGGGGGCAAGCGUUGUCCGGAAUCAUUGGGCGUAAAGCGCGUGUAGGCGGCCCGGUAAGUCCGCUGUGAAAGUCGGGGGCUCAACCCUCGAAUGCCGGUGGAUACUGUCGUGCUAGAGUGCGGAAGAGGCGAGUGGAAUUCCUGGUGUAGCGGUGAAAUGCGCAGAUAUCAGGAGGAACACCAAUUGCGAAGGCAGCUCGCUGGGGACGUGACUGACGCUGAGACGCGAAAGCGUGGGGAGCAAACAGGAUUAGAAC
rnacentral:rRNA from 1 species